rnacentral:rRNA from 1 species
UACGAAGGGGGGUAGCGUUGUUCGGAAUUACUGGGCGUAAAGCGCACGCAGGCGGAUUUAUAAGUCAGGAGUGAAAUCCCGGGGCUCAACCUCGGAAUUGCCUUUGAUACUGUCUAUCUUGAGUCCGGGAGAGGUGAGUGGAAUUCCUAGUGUAGAGGUGAAAUUCGUAGAUAUUAGGAAGAACACCAGUGGCGAAGGCGGCUCACUGGCCCGGUACUGACGCUCAUGUGCGAAAGCGUGGGGAGCAAACAGG